UACGGAGGAUGCAAGUGUUAUCCGGAAUCACUGGGCGUAAAGCGUCUGUAGGUGGUUUGCUAAGUCUGCUGUUAAAGCUUGAAGCUCAACUUCAAAACUGCAGCAGAAACUAGUAGACUUGAGUGUGAUAGGGGUAGAGGGAAUUUCCAGUGAAGUGGUGAAAUGCGUAGAUAUUGGAAAGACCGCCAAUGGCGAAGGCACUCUACUGGGCCACAACUGACACUGAGAGACGAAAGCUAGGGGAGCAAAUGGG
rnacentral:rRNA from 1 species